GUGAAAUACAAAUCGGACUAGGAUAUAGCUGGUUUUCUGCGAAAAUUGUUUUGGCAAAUUGUUUAUUCCUCUCAAAAAUAGUAGGUAUAGCACUGAAUAUCUCGAGGGAGUAUGAAAAUAUUUAUCUCAGAUAUUUAAUCUCAAAAUAACUAUUUCUUAAAAUAAAUAAUCAGACUAUGUGCGAUAAGGUAGAUAGUCGAAAGGGAAACAGCCCAGAACAGUAAUUAAAGCUCCCCAAUUAANAUUAAGUG
rnacentral:rRNA from 1 species